GAUGCAACGCGAAGAACCUUACCUGGCCUUGACAUGUCUGGAAUCCUGCAGAGAUGCGGGAGUGCCUUCGGGAAUCAGAACACAGGUGCUGCAUGGCAGUCGUCAGCUCGUGUCGUGAGAUGUUGGGUUAAGUCCCGCAACGAGCGCAACCCCUGUCCUUUGUUGCCAGCACGUAAUGGUGGGAACUCAAGGGAGACUGCCGGUGAUAAACCGGAGGAAGGUGG
rnacentral:rRNA from 1 species